rnacentral:rRNA from 3 species
GGACCAAGGAGUCUAGCAUGUGCGCGAGUCAUUGGGACUCUAACGAAACCUAAAGGCGCAAUGAAAGUGAAGGUCCGCCAAGCGCGGACCGAGGGAGGAUGGUCGGUCCCGAGGGGCCGACCCGCACUCCCGGGGCGUCUCGCUCUCAACGCGAGAAGAGGCGCACCCAGAGCGUACACGCUGGGACCCGAAAGAUGGUGAACUAUGCCUGGUCAGGACGAAGUCAGGGGAAACCCUGAUGGAGGUCCGUAGCGAUUCUGACGUGCAAAUCGAUCGUCGGAACUGGGUAUAGGGGCGAAAGACUAAUCGAACCAUCUAGUAGCUGGUUCCCUCCGAAGUUUCCCUCAGGAUAGCUGGCGCUCGUUUCUUACGAGUCUCAUUCGGUAAAGCGAAUGAUUAGAGGCAUUGGGGUCGAAACGGCCUCAACCUAUUCUCAAACUUUAAAUGGGUGAGAUCUCCGGCUUGCUUGAACGUUGAAGCCGCGAGAUAUCGGAUCAGAGUGCCAAGUGGGCCACUUUUGGUAAGCAGAACUGGCGCUGUGGGAUGAACCAAACGCUGAGUUAAAGCGCCUAAAUCGACGCUUAUGGGAUACCAUGAAAGGCGUUGGUAACUUAAGACAGCAGGACGGUGGCCAUGGAAGUCGGA